CCUACGGGCGGCAGCAGUGGGGAAUAUUGGACAAUGGGCGAAAGCCUGAUCCAGCCAUGCCGCGUGUGUGAAGAAGGCCUUCGGGUUGUAAAGCACUUUCAGUGGGGAAGAAAGCCUUGGGACUAAUACCCUCGAGGAAGGACAUCACCCACAGAAGAAGCACCGGCUAACUCCGUGCCAGCAGCCGCGGUAAUACGGAGGGUGCGAGCGUUAAUCGGAAUUACUGGGCGUAAAGCGCGCGUAGGCGGUCUGAUAAGCCGGUUGUGAAAGCCCCGGGCUCAACCUGGGAACGGCAUCCGGAACUGUCAGGCUAGAGUGCAGGAGAGGAAGGUAGAAUUCCCGGUGUAGCGGUGAAAUGCGUAGAGAUCGGGAGGAAUACCAGUGGCGAAGGCGGCCUUCUGGACUGACACUGACGCUGAGGUGCGAAAGCGUGGGUAGCAAACAGGAUUAGAUACCCUGGUAGUC
rnacentral:rRNA from 1 species